ACUGCUGCACUGCAUAUUAGCUUCAGCUUCUAGCACAUUUCUUAUUGCUUCAAGAUUUUGUCAUUUUAUUUUGAUACAUUCAAAAUUUGUAGUCAUGGAUUGAUUCUGGAUUAUCCUUUCAUUAAUUUUCAAUUCUUUUUGAUUAUUCUUUGAGUGAUUUUGGAAUUAUUUGAAUUCAAAUGAACUGAAUUCAACCUUCUUGACUGGGGUUCUUUAAUCCUCUCCUCCUGGUAAGCCUUUACCCUGAGCGUUCAUUUCGUGCUUGCAGCUGUCUGUGUGCUUGACCUUUUAUGGAGCUUUGUGAGCGUCACUACAUGCAAAUGAGCUGUGUCGGAAACACACUUUGCAGAUUACAGGUCAUCAACAUAUACACGCCAAACAAACAAGCCUAGAUGUGUUACAGUGACGUGUUGGAGUCGCCUCAGGGCUCCAGGUCUCUUCCAUCUUCAGCUCAGAGACAGAGGUGUGAGUCUGAAAAGUGUGUGAUGGGGUGUGAGGAGAGUUGUGUGUUCUAUUUCACAUAGCCGAACUGAAAGAACUAAAAGAACUCUCUCUCGCUCUCUCUCUCUCUCUCUCUCUCACCUCUGAAAAUUUCAUGAUGCUAAAUCCAUCCAUACUUUUAGUGUCGGUCAGGAUUAAAGCACAGACUGCAGCACAUGUGAAUUAUUCAGCUGUAUGUGUGUAUGUGUGUGUUUGUGUGUGUCUUUACUCCGAGAGUGAAAUUAGUGUGUGAGUGAAUGAGUGAGUGAGUGAGUGAACGAGUGAGCUUGUUUGGGAGUAGUAUGUGAGUAUGUGAUUAAAUGAGUGUAUUGGAUGAAUAAGUGGAAAUGCUGAUAUGAUUAUAUGAAUGAGUGAGUGUCAGUGAGUGAGUGAGCACAUGAGUGAAUAAAAGAGCCGGGGUUGGUCAGUCGGAGUGAAUGACUGAAUCUCUUAGCAAAUCUGUGACUGCGUGAAGAAGUGUAUGAAGGAACGAAUGAUUGUGUGAGUGAAUGGGUGAAUGAGUCUGUCUGUGGGUGUCUGUGAGUGUCUUUGUGAGUGAGAGAAUUAGCAUGGUUGUGAGUGUGGUUGUGAUUUAGAGGAAAUGAGUGCAUAAGUGAAUGAAUUAAGUUUUAGUUUAUGAAUGAGUGUAUGAGCAAGUGUAGCAUGUGAGUGUGUGAUUAAAUGCCAGGGAGUGAAUGAAUGUGUUAGACUGAAUGACAGAGUUGUGAAUUAGUAACUCUGAAUAAAUGAGUGUACAGUACAAAUGUGUGUGUGUGUGUGUGUGUGUGUGAGAAAGUGAUUAUGAAACUCCAUGUGUACAGAACAAACAUGACCAGCAUUAAUCCUUUAACUGUGUUACAUAAAGAAGGUGACCACACACACACACACACACACACACACUGAGGUUAAAUCGAAACGAUCCCUUAUUGUAUCUAGUGCACGUCGUGCUCUCAUUCUGUCAGCGCCCACACACUCAUACACUCGAAAUUAAAUCAGUGCUAAUGGCUUUGACAGCUAAACAAAUAUUUAACAUGCCACAAAUCUGAUCUUAACUCUCAGCUACGUUCAGAUGAGGUGAGCGUGCACGUGCACACACACACAUUCACACACACACACACACACACACACAGACCUCUUGAUGUGUGUAAUGUGAGGGGGUUGUUGACCCAGCCGCAGCCGUCAUUUACGGUUUCGAGUUCCACUAACUUUUCCCAGCUUGCACAAACCAUCGCCUGUCAUUCCCUAAGUUACAGGCCCAAACUCCUGCAGUAUGUGAGAACAGGUGCAGAAACACACACACACACACACACACACACACACACACUGAGUCUCCUCUUCCCGUCUUUAUCAAAGGAAUUCCUGUGGCGUCUGCACUCCCUCUGGCCUUGCAGAUAUCACUACCUCUUCUCAAUAACAGCAGAAAAAAAAGAGAAAUGGAUGAGUCUGUGUGUGUCAGUUUCCCAAAACAACCCUGUGUGUGUGUUUUACUGUGUCUUGACAUCAGUGCAGUAGUGUCCAUAGUCGUUAACUAAAAUUGGAACUAAAAUACAAAAAAAAAUUGAAGUAAGGAAGUAAAAAAGGUAUUUAAAAAAAUAAAAUAAAUUAUUAUUAUUAUUAUUAUUAUUAUUAUUAUUAUUAUUAUUAUUAUUAUUAAGUUUGCAUUUUCCACAUAACAAGGUCAAUAGAAAGUAUAUAUAUUUUCUUUCAUGAUAUUGAGACAUUGACGCAAGAAUAUUUUUUAAAAUACUUUUCUUUUCAGUUGCAAUAAUUUUUUGCAUUCUCUCGCAAUAGUUUCGACAUCUUUUUUUUCCUCUGUAAAACCCCUCUUGGAUCCAGCUCAUUCAUAAUCAAACAUACAUCUUCCUUUCUCACACAUAUUCUCAUUCCGUCUUCUCUACACUUACAUUACAUCCAUGUGUACCAGUGCAGCUUGACUGCAUAGUAAAAUUCGACCCUCAUCCUUUCAUUUAAAAAGUGCCCUAUGCUUCAGAAUAUGCUUUUUUAGGAGUAAAGUCAAAUUUAAUGAGUGCAUCCAUCGUAGUAUAGGAGACUGCUGGGUGUGUAGCAUGACGAUACAAUGCAUGGAGGGAUUAAAGCAGGGAUUGCAGGGGAACUGAGGGAAAUAUACUAAGGUCUUAUUCUUUUGCACUAAACAAAUCAUGUCUACUCAUUAAAUAUAUAGGAUUUAUUUAUUUAUCUAUUCGCUAAAGAUGUUAACAUUUUAAUACCCUUUGUGUAUUCACUUAUUUCAUGGAAAUAAGUUAAAAGUCACACAGACAAUUGUGAAAUAAUUGUAUUUCAGUUAGAUAGAUGAUCUGUUUGCAUGUUUCUAUUACAGAAACACUGAGUUGGUAACAUUAAUUUUAUUUUUAUUUAAUUUUUAUGUCACAAAUCCACUUUUUUCCUCACAUACAGACAUGUAUUUACUUUCUACUUGUAGACCAUUAAAUGUGUUUUGCCUUUGUGUAUUAUGUAUUCAUGCAUUCCGAUGUUAAAAUCAGAAAUAAUUCUGCAACUUUGCACAAACUAAACCAUUUCUUCACAAAUGAAAACGAACAGAAACUAACCAAGUAACUGUAAACACUGAAAAUAACACAAAAACAUCUCAGCUAUAAGAGUGCUAGAGAUAUGGAUUUAAAGAAUGAGCGCAGACAUUACACUGAUUUGUGACACUGUUCUUCAUGUUUCUAUAAUAAUGCACUUUUUUUUUCAGAGGAGCAGAACUGAAAGAUGAGAUUUCAAUGAUUUCAGCCAAAGCAGUAAGUAAUACACCCUGCGAUAUAAAAACCAUCUCGGAAUCGCAGGAGAUUUAUGGCGCAGGAUACACAUUUGUGACAUUUAUUGUAUAUCUGUAUCCAAAGCACUGCCAGGAUAUGCGAGGAGCAUCUGUGAUAAAUUGUGCGAAGCAUGAACAGAAAUGUUUAACACCAAAUACCGAAGGAAGGAAGAAAGGAAGGUCAUGAGGGCGAAGAAGUACAGAUUUGAAGAAAAUGUAGGAAGAAUGCUGCUUUAGUCAUAAGAUGUUGGAGUUAUAAGUAAAGGCUUCUAGUUCUUUGCUUUAUUCUCAUUGAGAAAUGAUGCAUGAAAGAAGUUGCCUUUGCUGUAUCCAGACUCUCUCGAUUUUGUGUGUGUGUGUGUGUGUGUUCAUCACCAUCUGCUCAUGUGAUCACUACAUGCCACCCCUCAGUGAAGUUGUCCAGAGUACAGGGACCUCCCUGCUCCUCUCAUACAGGACCUCCUCCUCCUCCUCCUCCUCCUCCUCCAUGUCGCUUAUCUUCUGCUUUUGUUCGUGUGAAUCUUAAUUUCACAGCUGGUACGAGACUCAUCAGAGCUCUUUUUGUUUUGUUGCCUUAAACAGCACCCCUCAAGAUGGCAGAGGCGGUUUUUUUUUGGGGGGGGCCUGAGGAGGUCAGAUGGUGCUCAUUUGUGUGUGUAUGUGUGUGUGUGUGCGCAUGUGUUCUUGUAUUCAUGUAAGGGCGUUUUUUUUUUUUUUUUUAAAUUCAAUCUGCUUAUUUGCAUGUAAUUGACUUCUUUCCUCGCUGGUUGUCAUAUGCAUGAAAUGUUCCCGGUGAUUCCUAAGAUCAUGACAUGUCACAGACAAGCGAGAUCCGCCCUCCGACUCUGUAAAGACCCGCCUCAGCAAAUCAAUUACACCACAAACGAAAAAAAAGCAGCAGUUUUAAUUUAAAAGAAUUUAACACAUUUUUUCCCACAAUGCUAAAUAUAAUUGAUGAGACAUGUUUAGUGUCUUCUUUUGUCUUGGAGCUAAUAUGUGUGUCGCUAAAAAGUAUUAGAAAUCUUAGCUAAAAUAUUUCAACUAUGUAAUCUCACUUUUAAAUAACAAAUUUAAAGCAGCAGGAUUUACAAAUUCAGGUUCAAACUGGAACUAUAUUAUUAUCCGCAUAGUAAGUUACAGAUUUUGAGAACAAUCAUGUCUGUAUCGUUUUUUUUUUUUAGGUUUAGGGUCUAGGGAGUGUAAUGAAGAUGGCCUGGUUCCUCUCAAGGUUUCAUCCUCAUCUCAUCUCAGGGAGCUUUUCCUCAUCACUGUCACCACCUUCAUUAUACAAAAUAUACAAAUUUACAACUGAAUUUCUGUAAAGCUGCUUUGUGACAACGUCUAUUAUUAAACAGUGCAAAAAAAUGACACUUUAGCAAGUGAAAAUAUCUUGAAUAUAGUCAAA